rnacentral:rRNA from 1 species
UACGUAGGGGGCUAGCGUUGUCCGGAUUUAUUGGGCGUAAAGAGCUCGUAGGCGGCUUGUUGCGUCAGCUGUGAAAUCCCGAGGCUCAACCUCGGGUCUGCAGUCGAUACGAGCAAACUAGAGUGUUGCAGGGGAGACUGGAAUUCCUGGUGUAGCGGUGAAAUGCGCAGAUAUCAGGAGGAACACCGGUGGCGAAGGCGGCGUCCUGGACCAAUACUGACACUGAAACGCGAAAGCCAGGGAGCAAACGGG